UUAAAUCAAAUUUGUAUGGAGUUGAAAAGUUUACUCACGUUUGCCGCUAGGGGCGCUGUUCCAACUCCGUAAAAAUUUCUUUGA
rnacentral:pre_miRNA from 1 species